rnacentral:rRNA from 1 species
UACGUAGGGUGCAGGCGUUAAUCGGAAUUACUGGGCGUAAAGCGUGCGCAGGCGGUCUUUUAAGUCAGAUGUGAAAUCCCCGGGCUUAACCUGGGAACUGCGUUUGAAACUGGAAGGCUAGAGUGUGGCAGAGGGGGGUGGAAUUCCACGUGUAGCAGUGAAAUGCGUAGAGAUGUGGAGGAACACCGAUGGCGAAGGCAGCCCCCUGGGUCAAAACUGACGCUCAUGCACGAAAGCGUGGGGAGCAAACAGG